CUCCCAAGGAGGAAGGAUCUCUAUCUGGAGAUCACUUCUCUUGGAGCCCUUCUGCGAGCAUAGGAUAUGGGCGUGGGGCCUCCAAAAAAGAAGAACAUGGAGCUGCUGGAGUGAGUCUAUAGGAAGGUCUCCAAGAGCAGCUAGCAGAAUACAAGACCCUCCAAGGACUGAAAUUCAGUAUGUUAUAAAGCCUGUGAGCCAAGACCACAUCCAUCACCAUGGAUGUAAAGAAAAUGAAGAAAAAUCAAGAAAAAAGAAAGAAUAGCAACAAUUUUGGACUUUUCAGUGAAACUACACAUCUUCCUGAAAAUUCUACUCACCUUCAACACAGACUUCCAUUUCAGAAACCAUUCUGAGGUUUGGAUCUUCUUGACAUAAUUUCAGCAGAUCUUCCUGUGUGCAUCUUCAGGCUUUGGACAAGCAUGGGUCUUUUCUUGCUUUGAGAACCUCAUCCUCCUUACAGAAGUGCUGACCGAGUGCAGUUCGGUGUACUCUUUACAGCAGGAGGCACUGUGACAGUUUAGGACAUUGCUCCUUAAUGUAAUUUGAAAUGAAAGAGAUCACUCUCUCCUUGUGUGUGUUCUUGUCUAUCUUAUGUCUCUGGUGUUUUUCUUUACAGACAAAAGCCAGGAAAGAAAUAAACUGAC
ensembl:lncRNA